rnacentral:rRNA from 1 species
GAGCUCGUAGGCGGUUUGUCGCGUCUGCCGUGAAAGUCCGGGGCUUAACCCCGGAUCUGCGGUGGGUACGGGCAGACUAGAGUGCAGUAGGGGAGACUGGAAUUCCUGGUGUAGCGGUGAAAUGCGCAGAUAUCAGGAGGAACACCGAUGGCGAAGGCAGGUCUCUGGGCUGUAACUGACGCUGAGGAGCGAAAGCAUGGGGAGCGAACAGGAUUAGAUACCCUGGUAGUCCAUGCCGUAAACGUUGGGCACUAGGUGUGGGGGACAUUCCACGUUUUCCGCGCCGUAGCUAACGCAUUAAGUGCCCCGCCUGGGGAGUACGGCCGCAAGGCUAAAACUCAAAGGAAUUGACGGGGGCCCGCACAAGCGGCGGAGCAUGCGGAUUAAUUCGAUGCAACGCGAAGAACCUUACCAAGGCUUGACAUGUUCCUGACCGCCGUAGAGAUACGGUUUCCCCUUUGGGGCAGGUUCACAGGUGGUGCAUGGUUGUCGUCAGCUCGUGUCGUGAGAUGUUGGGUUAAGUCCCGCAACGAGCGCAACCCUCGUUCCAUGUUGCCAGCACGUAGUGGUGGGGACUCAUGGGAGACUGCCGGGGUCAACUCGGAGGAAGGUGGGGACGACGUCAAAUCAUCAUGCCCCUUAUGUCUUGGGCUUCACGCAUGCUACAAUGGCCGGUACAAUGGGUUGCGAUACUGUGAGGUGUAGCUAAUCCCAAAAAGCCGGUCUCAGUUCGGAUUGGGGUCUGCAACUCGACCCCAUGAAGUCGGAGUCGCUAGUAAUCGCAG